GCACUGCUGACGAGUCCAAAACAGGACGAAACAGCUGUCCAGUGU
rnacentral:hammerhead_ribozyme from 1 species